rnacentral:rRNA from 1 species
GNAAUGGGGGAACCCUGAUCCAGCCAUGCCGCGUGAGUGAUGAAGGCCUUCGGGUUGUAAAACUCUUUCGGCGGGGACGAUAAUGACGGUACCCGCAGAAGAAGCUCCGGCUAACUUCGUGCCAGCAGCCGCGGUAAUACGAAGGGGGCUAGCGUUGUUCGGAAUUACUGGGCGUAAAGCGCGCGCAGGCGGCCUUUCAAGUCAGGGGUGAAAGCCCGGAGCUCAACUCCGGAAUUGCCUUUGAAACUGUCAGGCUCGAGUACGGGAGAGGUGAGUGGAAUUCCCAGUGUAGAGGUGAAAUUCGUAGAUAUUGGGAAGAACACCGGUGGCGAAGGCGGCUCACUGGCCCGUUUCUGACGCUCAGGCGCGACAGCGUGGGGAUCAAACAGGAUUAGAUACCCUGGUAGUCCACGCCAUAAACGAUGAGAACUAGACGUUGAGGGGGUAAGCCUCUCAGUGUCGUAGCUAACGCGCUAAGUUCUCCGCCUGGGGAGUACGGCCGCAAGGUUGAAACUCAAAGAAAUUGACGGA